AAGCGUGGUCAGAACACACGUGCGCUCCCCUGGCUCCUGCCUGUUGCUCUGGCCUUGCUGCUUGGGCUUGCUAUGAUGGUUUGCUGUGUUGGCCUCUGAAUAAAACUCUGGUGUUGGUGCCUUCCCAUGGCUUGUCUCUGUGUGGUGAUCCUGCGGAGGACCGAGGACCCAGGCAUGGGUAAGACUCUGGCGGUGCACUUCUCAUAGGAGAAGUGGGUACUGGCGCAUGACUGGCAGAGGGUCAGCGUGCGGCCCGUAUAAGUGGCGCCCAACGUGGGGCGGAGGAAAUAGGCCAGAGGCCCCGUGGACCAGCUGGUCUGGUUGCGGGAAGAGAGACGAGACCCUUAGCCGAUAGGGCUAAGAAAGGAGGAUGGGACAGUUGUUUGGUAAGGUCCCGGAUCGGGAGGUGCAAGGGAAAGAAGUGUAUAAACGAGUGAAAGAAGCAGAAAUUAGUAGUGAGGAGGAGUCUAGGAGUGAGACAGACUCAGGGAGUGAGACAGAGGUCACUAGAAACAGCGAAUUGGAAAAUAAUCAAGAGAAAAGAAAGCAAGGCCGAGCAGGAGGGCAGGAGCGGGAGAGCAGGAGCCGGGAGAGAGCAAGAAACCGUAGCAAGGAAAGCCACGAGGAGGGAUGGCCCCCUCCCCCGGACUUCCCUUUAGAGGAGAAUGGCUCAUUCGCUCCUCCGGCUCCCUCUUAUGGGGCCAUGGGGGACCCCCCAACCAGGCUAGGACAAAUGCUCCAGAAGGCAGUGGCAGAAGGAGAUAUGGAUGCCAAGGCAUGGCUAGAUGCCUGCCCGGUGUUCGAAUCCAACGGAGGGAGGACCUGGGCCCCUUUAGAAUGGAAGAAGUUUAAGGAGUUAAAAGAGGCACUAAAUACAGCCUUUGCAGCUGUUUCCCAAUGUGCCCUAUGGGCUUUUAGUAAGAUUCAGGCUUUGGGGAAACAAAAGCCCUCCCUGACCAAGAUUAAAAAGGGUCCUGAUAAAAGCUUCCUGGAUUUCGUGGCCUGCCUCCAGGCAGCCGUUUGGAGAGGACUAUCAGAGGUGCUGAAAACAAAACAGACUAAAUUGUACUAUCUAUGCGGGAAAGCCAGUCAUUUUAAGGCACAAUGCAGCCAGAAAUCUGGUGGAGCCUGCCCUAAGGCAAUAUGUUACAAUUGUAACAAAUCCGGCCAUUAUGCUAAAGAGUGCUGCAAGCCAGUUGGGAGGUGGGGCAAGGAGAGCCCCUUAGCAAGCUUACCAGAUGGAAGCUCCACCCCCUCAGAAUGCGCCCUCGGGGCUGCAUCAGGAAAAUCUACUUUACCUGGUGGUUCGGACUUCCCCUUUACAGCAAGCGAAUUUUCCAAAUCGACCCCAGUGGUUGCUGGUUUGAGAUACAAUUUAUGGGGAAGAGAUAUUUUGAAGGCUUGUGGUGCAUCUGUUUAUAUACCACCCCCGCAGGAUUUUUAAUUGGGGCCGUUGGGCAACAAGAAAAAUUUUAUUGUAUCAGACCCACUCCUCUAACAUGGAGAUCUAAUAACCCAGUCUGGGUACCCCAAUGGCCCCUCCCUGCAGAGAAAGCCCAGGCUUUACGUGAUAUAGUGCAGCACCAGUUACAGGUGAGGCACAUUGAGCCCACGUCCAGCCCCU
ensembl:lncRNA